GAUGAGCGCUGGCGGCGUGCCUAAUACAUGCAAGUCGAGCGAAUGGAUUAAGAGCUUGCUCUUAUGAAGUUAGCGGCGGACGGGUGAGUAACACGUGGGUAACCCGCCCAUAAGACUGGGAUAACUCCGGGAAACCGGGGCUAAUACCGGAUAACAUUUUGAACCGCAUGGUUCGAAAUUGAAAGGCGGCUUCGGCUGUCACUUAUGGAUGGACCCGCGUCGCAUUAGCUAGUUGGUGAGGUAACGGCUCACCAAGGCAACGAUGCGUAGCCGACCUGAGAGGGUGAUCGGCCACACCGGGACUGAGACACGGCCCAGACUCCUACGGGAGGCAGCAGUAGGGAAUCUUCCGCAAUGGACGAAAGUCUGACGGAGCAACGCCGCGUGAGUGAUGAAGGCUUUCGGGUCGUAAAACUCUGUUGUUAGGGGAGAACAAGUGCUAGUUGAAUAAGCUGGCACCUUGACGGUACCUAAUCAGAAAGCCACGGCUAACUACGUGCCAGCAGCCGCCGUAA
rnacentral:rRNA from 1 species